rnacentral:rRNA from 1 species
UGGGGAAUAUUGGACAAUGGGCGCAAGCCUGAUCCAGCAAUGCCGCGUGAGUGAGGAAGGCCUUAGGGUUGUAAAGCUCUUUCACCCGCGACGAUGAUGACGGUAGCGGGAGAAGAAGCCCCGGCUAACUUCGUGCCAGCAGCCGCGGUAAUACGAAGGGGGCGAGCGUUGUUCGGAUUUACUGGGCGUAAAGGGCGCGCAGGCGGCUCAUUUUGUCAGGCGUGAAAGUCCCGGGCUUAACCUGGGAACUGCGUUUGAUACGGAUGGGCUAGAGUUCGGGAGAGGAGAGUGGAAUUCCCAGUGUAGAGGUGAAAUUCGUAGAUAUUGGGAAGAACACCGGUGGCGAAGGCGGCUCUCUGGACCGAGACUGACGCUGAGGCGCGAAAGCGUGGGGAGCAAAC